rnacentral:rRNA from 1 species
GAUUAAGUUAUUAAGGGCGCACGGUGGAUGCCUUGGCACUAGAAGCCGAUGAAGGACGUUACUAACGACGAUAUGCUUUGGGGAGCUGUAAGUAAGCUUUGAUCCAGAGAUUUCCGAAUGGGGAAACCCAGCAUGAGUUAUGUCAUGUUAUCGAUAUGUGAAUACAUAGCAUAUCAGAAGGCACACCCGGAGAACUGAAACAUCUUAGUACCCGGAGGAAGAGAAAGAAAAUUCGAUUCCCUUAGUAGCGGCGAGCGAAACGGGAAGAGCCCAAACCAACAAGCUUGCUUGUUGGGGUUGUAGGACACUCUAUACGGAGUUACAAAGGACGACAUUAGACGAAUCAUCUGGAAAGAUGAAUCAAAGAAGGUAAUAAUCCUGUAGUCGAAAAUGUUGUCUCUCUUGAGUGGAUCCUGAGUACGACGGAGCACGUGAAAUUCCGUCGGAAUCUGGGAGGACCAUCUCCUAAGGCUAAAUACUCUCUAGUGACCGAUAGUGAACCAGUACCGUGAGGGAAAGGUGAAAAGCACCCCGGAAGGGGAGUGAAAUAGAACCUGAAACCGUGUGCUUACAAGUAGUCAGAGCCCGUUAAUGGGUGAUGGCGUGCCUUUUGUAGAAUGAACCGGCGAGUUACGAUUUGAUGCAAGGUUAAGCAGUAAAU